rnacentral:rRNA from 1 species
GAUGAACGCUGGCGGCGUGCCUAAUACAUGCAAGUCGAGCGAAUGGAUUAAGAGCUUGCUCUUAUGGAGUUAGCGGCGGACGGGUGAGUAACACGUGGGUAACCUGCCCAUAAGACUGGGAUAACUCCGGGAAACCGGGGCUAAUACCGGAUAACAUUUUGAACCGCAUGGUUCGAAAUUGAAAGGUGGCUUCGGCUGUCACUUAUGGAUGGACCCGCAUCGCAUUAGCUAGUUGGUGAGGUAACGGCUCACCAAGGCAACGAUGCGUAGCCGACCUGAGAGGGUGAUCGGCCACACUGGGACUGAGACACGGCCCAGACUCCUACGGGAGGCAGCAGUAGGGAAUCUUCCGCAAUGGACGAAAGUCUGACGGAGCAACGCCGCGUGAGUGAUGAAGGCUUUCGGGUCGUAAAACUCUGUUGUUAGGGAAGAACAAGUGCUAGUUGAAUAAGCUGGCACCUUGACGGUACCUAACCAGAAAGCCACGGCUAACUACGUGCCAGCCGCCGCAGUAA